rnacentral:rRNA from 1 species
GAUGAACGCUGGCGGCGUGCCUAAUACAUGCAAGUCGAGCGAACAGAUAAGGAGCUUGCUCCUUUUACGUUAGCGUCGGACGGGUGAGUAACACGUUUGUAACCUACCUAUAAGACAGGAGUAACUCCGGGAAACCGGAGCUAUUACCGGAUAACAUUUAGAACCGCAUGGUUCUAAAGUACAUGAUGGUUUUGCUGUCACUUAUAGAUGGGUCCGCGCCGUAUUAGCUAGUGGGUAAGGUAACGGCUUACCAAGGCAACGAUACGUAGCCGACCUGAGAGGGUGAUCGGCCACACUGGAACUGAGACACGGUCCAGACUCCUACGGUAGGCAGCAGUAGGGAAUCUUCCGCGAUGGGCGAAAGCCUGACGGAGCAACGCCGCGUGAGCGAUGAAGGUCUUCGGAUCGUAAAACUCUGUUAGUAGGGAAGAACAAAUGUGUAAGUAACUGUGACCGUCUUGACGGUACCUAAUCAGAAAGCCACGGCUAACUACGUG